GAUGAACGCUGGCGGCGUGCCUAAUACAUGCAAGUCGAGCGAACGGACGCGAAUCUUGCUUUUCUGAUGUUAGCGGCGGACGGGUGAGUAACACGUGUAUAACCUACCUAUAAGACUGGGAUAACUUCGGGAAACCGGAGCUAAUCCCGGAUAAUAUUUUGCACCGCAUUGUUCAAAAGUGAAAGACGGUCUUGCUGUCACUUAUAGCUGGAUCCGCGCUGCAUUAGCUAGUUGGUAAGGUAACGGCUUACCAAGGCAACGAUGCAUAGCCGACCUGAGAGGGUGAUAGGCCACACGGGAACUGAGGCACGGUCCAGACUCCUACGGGAGGCAGCAGUAGGGAAUCGUACGCAAUGGGCGAAAGCCUGACGGAGCAACGCCGCGUGAGUGAUGAAGGUCUUCGGAGCGUAAAACUCUGUUAUUAGGGAAGAACAUAUGUGGAAGUAACUGUGCACAUCGUGACGGUACCUAAUCAGAAAGCCACGGCUAACUACGUG
rnacentral:rRNA from 1 species